UGACUCUUAAAAGCCGCGUCUCGGAGACGCUUCGUUCUUUUCCUGGGCGGUCCGCGGCGGGAGAUCGCUCGGAUGCUGGGACAGAGCCUUGAGAUGCUGGAACUACCAGGCAUGAGCCUGGUAUUGCUUUCACUUGCUUUCCCAGCAGGUGAGGAGCUGGUGCCCCUGUCCUGGAGACUACCUGCUUUCGCCUGCUGCCAAAUCCGGCAGGGCCCAUCUGGAGGCACCCUUCUGAACACUGAGCAGUUCUGAGAUCUCUCGUCUGCUGGAUGGAAUGAAGUGGGCACACAGCAGCUAUCAUGCAAGAGAUCUCUUGCUAAAUGGAAGAGGCUGAUGCUGCCAAGGGGAGCUUAAUGGACUGGCCAAUAGGUCUUGCCACCUAGUGGAACAUGAUAGUGUCUCCCAAGGGGCUGGAACUCCGGAAAGACCCAUAGAUGGGCAAAAUCAAAGUGGAACAUAGAGCUCAAACUUGAGCUGAGACUGGAUUGUCCCCUCCAAUGUUAAGUCCCUCUUAAAAGCUACGUUUCUGCGUCCCAAAGAGAACAUUAUCCUGCAUAGAAAAUCCUCUUCCCUUACCUCUGUGCGCCUGUUCUUAGGCUGCAAGCUCCUCAGGGAAGGGGCCCAUCCCUUCUCUUGCAUAUGAAAAUCACCUAGCACUACUCGCACAUCCUGGGAAAUUGUUUACAGGCUCAACUGCAUCUGUAUCAAUACAAGGACUGUCCUUUCCAGAGAGCUUGUGUUCUUAGUAAAAACUCCCCUGUAUAGGGAAUCAGGAAAUAAUAAAUGCAGCAGUCAAAAA